ACGUUUGUAUGUUAGUUCGUUCAAGGUAAGCCGAGAGUGAUUAUUAAGUAUAUUUAUUAUUGCUGCUAUCUGCUGUGUUUGUGUUAGUGAUGGAAUUGUUAUUUUUGUGUGUGCUGCAGCUAGGGAGUUUUAGUGUGUUUAGGGAUCUUCAUUGAUUUAUCAGGGUGAAUUGUUGUUCCUGCUUACGUUUGCUGGGGGUGCGGGGUGGUUUUACUGUCUCCAUGCAAUUGUCGUAGAGGGCAGUGCGCUCCCUGAAUAGGGUUCCUAAAAUCAUUUUGUUUUUCGGUUUUGGUUUGCCAUUCUGCAGUCGUCUUUCUUCCAUUGGUGAUGUUAAUUUGCUACUUCGCACGGCCAUCCCCCCCCACCGUUUCUUCUUUCUCGUUUGCUGAUCGAGUUUGUCCUUUGUUUCAGAGGAAAUUCAUUUCAGUGGUUAGAAUUCCAACCACAUGUGGGCUUUCACCAACACGUCAUCGAGUUUGAAUGAUGCAAUUUUCUGCAUUUACCAAAUACCCAACAACGCAAAGGAUUUCCAAGUAUGUUUUUCCCUUUAUUUCAUUCACGCGUUUUGGUUUUUGUUGAAUACUGUGUCUUAAAUUGAUAUGGAUUCUGUAUUCACAUUAAAAACAAAACACGCAUUUUA